UACAGAGGAUGCAAGCGUUAUCCGGAAUGAUUGGGCGUAAAGCGUCCGCAGGUGGUUUAAUAAGUCUGCUGUUAAAGCGUGUGGCUCAACCACAUACAGGCAGUGGAAACUAUUAGACUAGAGUAUGUUAGGGGUAGAGGGAAUUCCCAGUGUAGCGGUGAAAUGCGUAGAGAUUGGGAAGAACACCGGUGGCGAAAGCGCUCUGCUAGGACAAUACUGACACUGAGGGACGAAAGCUAGGGGAGCGAAUGGG
rnacentral:rRNA from 1 species